rnacentral:tRNA from 1 species
GGGGAUUUAGCUCAGUGGUAGAGCGCCUGCCUAGGGAGCGCAAGGCCCUGGGUUCGGUCCCCAGCUCCG